AAAUGUAUUAUCUAACAUUUAUUCAUUACAUUUUUAAAAACAUGAUUAGCAUGGCCCCUGCACAAGGAUGACACGCAAAUUCGUGAAGCGUUCCAUAUUUUU